UGGGAAGGAGCCGCGACUACUUGCAGGAGGGUGAAGCGUCUGCGCUGCUGAGGUAGGGGGAGAAGAGUACCAAUGUAUGAAGCCUUAAAGAAACGGCCGUUUGGGGAAAGGCACCGACUCAGGAGCUAUGUUUUCCUCCAGGGUUCCCUCCAGCCCUCCCCGGCUAAGGAUCGGCCCCCACAGUCCCGCGCCUCACCCAAGUGCCCCGAGUCCUGCUUCCGCCUCCGCUGCAGCCUCUCCCGCAGAGAAUCCAGCUGCUUUUUGUGGGCCUGGAUAGAGCUCCACGUGUCCGACAUGUCAGUCUCGCAGCCCAGACACGUCUCGAACCAAGGGCGGCUGCCUUCCACCUCUCAGCCCUAGUUCCAAGAAUUAUCCAACUCUCACGCGGACACCCGAAGGCUAACCGGAAAGAGAUCCCGGGAGAUGCACCGGACGGAAAGUCAUUUCCGGGUUUGCUCUACCUUUGAAGCUGAAACGAGAGCCACCUUAAGUGUUGGCGGAAUGGCGGAUAUAUUUUCUAUGGGAGUUCUUUCACGCUUCCGGCAACCGGCGGCACAUGGAACUUACCUGUGACCAGGGAUUGAACCCACAUCCCUUGCAGUGGAAGGCUGAGUCUUAAUCACUGGACCACCAAGGAAGACCCUACUUAACAGGAAUAGCUUAAAGUACUGUUGGGUGUUUACAUUGUGGAGCCAAUUUUCAAGCCAGACCACUCGAGCAUAAUCUCUCGCAACACUCCAGUUAAAGAAGCCCAGAACUGUGAAGAACAAAGAGAAGGUAGGUGAUUGGAAUGAGAUCCUUGGAAGAGAAAGAAGAGGGGCCAGUCAGGGAUGCUAAUUCCCAGAGCUCUGUAACUCCUCUGGACUCAAGGCCUCACUUUCUGGGUGCAGACCUGGAGGAUGACAAACUUUCGACUUACAGAGAAAAACUGAAGACCUACAA